CAUUGAGGUUCUAAAAAAAGAAAUUACAAAUUCAUCAACAUUCCAACUGACUCCAUUUUCAGAAAACGACAUCUGUAACAAACAUAAACUUUAAGCUACCGCUUAACAAGCAGAACCAGAUACAAUGAAAGUCCCAACUAUGUAUUGGCUUCCGAAGCUACACAAACACCUUACAAAUAUAGAUUGAUUUCGUCUUCAAGCCAUUGUUCCACUACUUAAUUGUAUAUUCUCCUUACAAUGAAAAAUCUGAUAAUAAAUUGUUCAAAUAAGGCCUUUGAAAAUAGUGGAAUUAAUUACUUUUGGAGUGUCAAGAACUCGUUGGAAGUACUUGAUAAAUCGCAGGCUUAUAUUGGUGAUUUUGAUUCUGCGUUAAAGUUUUGAUUGUUCUACCCUGCCUCACAUUGCCUCACAUUCUCAUUAAGAAAACAUUCAC
rnacentral:lncRNA from 1 species